rnacentral:rRNA from 1 species
UAACACGUGGGUAACCUGCCUUAUAGUGGGGGAUAGCCUUUCGAAAGGAAGAUUAAUACCGCAUAAGAUUGUAGUAUCGCAUGAUAUAGCAAUUAAAGGAGCAAUUCGCUAUAAGAUGGACCCGCGUCGCAUUAGCUAGUUGGUGAGGUAAUGGCUCACCAAGGCGACGAUGCGUAGCCGACCUGGGAGGGUGAUCGGCCACAUUGGGACUGAGACACGGCCCAGACUCCUACGGGAGGCAGCAUG